rfam:Triticum aestivum genome assembly, contig: Triticum_aestivum_CS42_TGACv1_scaffold_222849_3B
ACACUACUCCUUCUGUUCGGAAUUACUUGUCGUAGAAAUGGAUGUAUCUAGACGUUCUAGAUACAUCCAUUUCCGAGACAAGUAAUUCCGAACGGAGGGAGUACUUC